GGUUAAGCGACUAAGCGUACACGGUGGAUGCCCUGGCAGUCAGAGGCGAUGAAGGACGUGCUAAUCUGCGAUAAGCGUCGGUGAGGUGAUAUGAACCGUUAUAACCGGCGAUUUCCGAAUGGGGAAACCCAGUGUGUUUCGACACACUAUCAUUAACUGAAUCCAUAGGUUAAUGAGGCGAACCGGGGGAACUGAAACAUCUAAGUACCCCGAGGAAAAGAAAUCAACCGAGAUUCCCCCAGUAGCGGCGAGCGAACGGGGAGGAGCCCAGAGCCUGAAUCAGUGUGUGUGUUAGUGGAAGCGUCUGGAAAGGCGUGCGAUACAGGGUGACAGCCCCGUACACAAAAAUGCACAUAUUGUGAGCUCGAUGAGUAGGGCGGGACACGUGGUAUCCUGUCUGAAUAUGGGGGGACCAUCCUCCAAGGCUAAAUACUCCUGACUGACCGAUAGUGAACCAGUACCGUGAGGGAAAGGCGAAAAGAACCCCGGCGAGGGGAGUGAAAAAGAACCUGAAACCGUGUACGUACAAGCAGUGGGAGCCUCUUAAUGGGGUGACUGCGUACCUUUUGUAUAAUGGGUCAGCGACUUAUAUUCUGUAGCAAGGUUAACCGAAUAGGGGAGCCGAAGGGAAACCGAGUCUUAACUGGGCGUUAAGUUGCAGGGUAUAGACCCGAAACCCGGUGAUCUAGCCAUGGGCAGGUUGAAGGUUGGGUAACACUAACUGGAGGACCGAACCGACUAAUGUUGAAAAAUUAGCGGAUGACUUGUGGCUGGGGGUGAAAGGCCAAUCAAACCGGGAGAUAGCUGGUUCUCCCCGAAAGCUAUUUAGGUAGCGCCUCGUGAAUUCAUCUCCGGGGGUAGAGCACUGUUUCGGCAAGGGGGUCAUCCCGACUUACCAACCCGAUGCAAACUGCGAAUACCGGAGAAUGUUAUCACGGGAGACACACGGCGGGUGCUAACGUCCGUCGUGAAGAGGGAAACAACCCAGACCGCCAGCUAAGGUCCCAAAGUCAUGGUUAAGUGGGAAACGAUGUGGGAAGGCCCAGACAGCCAGGAUGUUGGCUUAGAAGCAGCCAUCAUUUAAAGAAAGCGUAAUAGCUCACUGGUCGAGUCGGCCUGCGCGGAAGAUGUAACGGGGCUAAACCAUGCACCGAAGCUGCGGCAGCGACACUAUGUGUUGUUGGGUAGGGGAGCGUUCUGUAAGCCUGUGAAGGUGGCCUGUGAGGGUUGCUGGAGGUAUCAGAAGUGCGAAUGCUGACAUAAGUAACGAUAAAGCGGGUGAAAAGCCCGCUCGCCGGAAGACCAAGGGUUCCUGUCCAACGUUAAUCGGGGCAGGGUGAGUCGACCCCUAAGGCGAGGCCGAAAGGCGUAGUCGAUGGGAAACAGGUUAAUAUUCCUGUACUUGGUGUUACUGCGAAGGGGGGACGGAGAAGGCUAUGUUGGCCGGGCGACGGUUGUCCCGGUUUAAGCGUGUAGGCUGGUUUUCCAGGCAAAUCCGGAAAACCAAGGCUGAGGCGUGAUGACGAGGCACUACGGUGCUGAAGUGACAAAUGCCCUGCUUCCAGGAAAAGCCUCUAAGCAUCAGGUAACAUCAAAUCGUACCCCAAACCGACACAGGUGGUCAGGUAGAGAAUACCAAGGCGCUUGAGAGAACUCGGGUGAAGGAACUAGGCAAAAUGGUGCCGUAACUUCGGGAGAAGGCACGCUGAUAUGUAGGUGAAGCGACUUGCUCGUGGAGCUGAAAUCAGUCGAAGAUACCAGCUGGCUGCAACUGUUUAUUAAAAACACAGCACUGUGCAAACACGAAAGUGGACGUAUACGGUGUGACGCCUGCCCGGUGCCGGAAGGUUAAUUGAUGGGGUUAGCGGUAACGCGAAGCUCUUGAUCGAAGCCCCGGUAAACGGCGGCCGUAACUAUAACGGUCCUAAGGUAGCGAAAUUCCUUGUCGGGUAAGUUCCGACCUGCACGAAUGGCGUAAUGAUGGCCAGGCUGUCUCCACCCGAGACUCAGUGAAAUUGAACUCGCUGUGAAGAUGCAGUGUACCCGCGGCAAGACGGAAAGACCCCGUGAACCUUUACUAUAGCUUGACACUGAACAUUGAGCCUUGAUGUGUAGGAUAGGUGGGAGGCUUUGAAGUGUGGACGCCAGUCUGCAUGGAGCCGACCUUGAAAUACCACCCUUUAAUGUUUGAUGUUCUAACGUUGGCCCGUAAUCCGGGUUGCGGACAGUGUCUGGUGGGUAGUUUGACUGGGGCGGUUUCCUCCUAAAGAGUAACGGAGGAGCACGAAGGUUGGCUAAUCCUGGUCGGACAUCAGGAGGUUAGUGCAAUGGCAUAAGCCAGCUUGACUGCGAGCGUGACGGCGCGAGCAGGUGCGAAAGCAGGUCAUAGUGAUCCGGUGGUUCUGAAUGGAAGGGCCAUCGCUCAACGGAUAAAAGGUACUCCGGGGAUAACAGGCUGAUACCGCCCAAGAGUUCAUAUCGACGGCGGUGUUUGGCACCUCGAUGUCGGCUCAUCACAUCCUGGGGCUGAAGUAGGUCCCAAGGGUAUGGCUGUUCGCCAUUUAAAGUGGUACGCGAGCUGGGUUUAGAACGUCGUGAGACAGUUCGGUCCCUAUCUGCCGUGGGCGCUGGAGAACUGAGGGGGGCUGCUCCUAGUACGAGAGGACCGGAGUGGACGCAUCACUGGUGUUCGGGUUGUCAUGCCAAUGGCACUGCCCGGUAGCUAAAUGCGGAAGAGAUAAGUGCUGAAAGCAUCUAAGCACGAAACUUGCCCCGAGAUGAGUUCUCCCUGACUCCUUGAGAGUCCUGAAGGAACGUUGAAGACGACGACGUUGAUAGGCCGGGUGUGUAAGCGCAGCGAUGCGUUGAGCUAACCGGUACUAAUGAACCGUGAGGCUUAACCUU
rnacentral:rRNA from 1 species